rnacentral:miRNA from 1 species
UGGGUCUCAGAGAAAA